AGAGUUUGAUCCUGGCUCAGAUUGAACGCUGGCGGCAUGCCUUACACAUGCAAGUCGAACGGUAACGCGGGGCAACCUGGCGACGAGUGGCGAACGGGUGAGUAAUACAUCGGAACGUGCCCAGUAGUGGGGGAUAGCCCGGCGAAAGCCGGAUUAAUACCGCAUACGACCUACGGGUGAAAGCGGGGGAUCGCAAGACCUCGCGCUAUUGGAGCGGCCGAUGUCAGAUUAGCUAGUUGGUGGGGUAAAAGCCUACCAAGGCGACGAUCUGUAGCUGGUCUGAGAGGACGACCAGCCACACUGGGACUGAGACACGGCCCAGACUCCUACGGGAGGCAGCAGUGGGGAAUUUUGGACAAUGGGGGCAACCCUGAUCCAGCCAUGCCGCGUGCGGGAAGAAGGCCUUCGGGUUGUAAACCGCUUUUGUCAGGGAAGAAACGGUCUGCGCUAAUACCGCGGACUAAUGACGGUACCUGAAGAAUAAGCACCGGCUAACUACGUGCCAGCAGCCGCGGUAAUACGUAGGGUGCAAGCGUUAAUCGGAAUUACUGGGCGUAAAGCGUGCGCAGGCGGCUUUGCAAGACAGAUGUGAAAUCCCCGGGCUCAACCUGGGAACUGCAUUUGUGACUGCAUGGCUAGAGUGCGGCAGAGGGGGAUGGAAUUCCGCGUGUAGCAGUGAAAUGCGUAGAUAUGCGGAGGAACACCGAUGGCGAAGGCAAUCCCCUGGGCCUGCACUGACGCUCAUGCACGAAAGCGUGGGGAGCAAACAGG
rnacentral:rRNA from 1 species